CAGAGCUGCCAGCCUGCCAGCAGCAGCAGCGCUUCCACCAGGGAGUCAGAGCAGGAGCUCCUCGUUCCCACAGCUGUUUCCACUGUACUUCUAAGCUGAGAAGAAGUGAAGCACCAAGAAUCCACUUCAGAUGGGCACAGAAAAUCCCCCAGUGUGGAUUCCCCGUGACUGCAGCAAGCAAAAAACUACCUAACACACUAGGGUCAUGAAGGCACCCGCAGACAGCACAUAUACUUUGGAGUAUGGAGAAGGAGAAUAUCUUCCUCAAAAGAUCUGCUGAUUCCAAAGUCAGACGUGGCCUGAUGGUAAAUGGGUCCAUAACAAUAAGUCUGACAAUCCCUGAGCAAUUGGAGUUGGCAUUUCCUGGCACGUACAACCAGGAUGGCCAGGCAGUUCUGAGUGGUGGCCAAGCAAAGCUACAAGCAAGUCAACAUGAUAGCCAAGGAUAGUUCUGAACUGCCACUUUCCUGUCUUAUGUAUAAAGAGAAGUAGAAGCUGUGAAAUAUUUCAGCCCCAUGUACUACCCUGAUUUUAUCACGACUGUAUUUUCUUCUUGAUUCAAAUAAAAAUAGGUAGUUCCUCA
rnacentral:lncRNA from 1 species